GGCUUUGAAGCGUGGACGCCAGUCUGCGUGGAGCCAACCUUGAAAUACCACCCUUUAAUGUUUGAUGUUCUAACGUUGGCCCCUUACCGGGGUUGCGGACAGUGUCUGGUGGGUAGUUUGACUGGGGCGGUCUCCUCCCAAAGCGUAACGGAGGAGCACGAAGGUUAGCUAAUCCUGGUCGGACAUCAGGAGGUUAGUGCAAUGGCAUAAGCUAGCUUGACUGCGAGCGUGACGGCGCGAGCAGGUGCGAAAGCAGGUCAUAGUGAUCCGGUGGUUCUGAAUGGAAGGGCCAUCGCUCAACGGAUAAAAGGUACUCCGGGGAUAACAGGCUGAUACCGCCCAAGAGUUCAUAUCGACGGCGGUGUUUGGCACCUCGAUGUCGGCUCAUCACAUCCUGGGGCUGAAGUAGGUCCC
rnacentral:rRNA from 1 species